CGUCAGAGUCAGCUGUGGGCUCAGGCACUGUGUGCGUGUGUGUGUGUGUGUGUGUGUGUGUGUCUGUGUGUGCGUGUGUGCGCGCGCGCUGAAUGAUUCAGCGCAGUACAGCAGCAGCAACGGGAGUAACCGUAGCGGAGGACCGUAGCAGCGGUAAUAAAGCCUCGUUUAACCGGGGAGAAGGACCGUAGCAACGGUAAUAAAGCCUCGUUUAACCGGGGAGAAGGACCAUAGCGGCGGGAAUAAAGCCUCGUUUAACCGGGGAGAAGGACCGGAUAGAAGGACCGUAGGACCCGGUUUUCAUUGAAUAUCACGGUGUGUGUGAACGGGCUGACUGAAUUAGUAGCAUUAGGAAAGUUCAUCCUUUACACCUGAACUUCCGCCCGGAGACAGGCUGUCAAUCAUUCCAAUGGUCAUCUUAUCUCACAAGGGUUAGGAUCAGAUUCCCAGUGGAUGUUGUUGGUGUCUUGCUGAAUCUCGCGCAUGUGUCACCUCAAAGCCAAACCACUGACUACCUUGGCUGUGUGAUGUCGUCCCCAUCUCAGAGAGACGUCAGAGGCGUCCUAUGUUGUUGGGCUGUCCUUGGUUUUUAUCCCUGCUGCACGCAGUCAUACUAUAUGCAGUAUGUUUAGCUUGCCACUGUUAUUUUUAAUUUCCCAGUGAAUGUGAUCCUGACAGGGAGUGCUAGCAGCAGCCAGCGGGUCAACCGAUCGAUAGUCAACUGAGUGCUGGAUCAGGUUACCGUUGAGUCACUUACCAGGGGGAGUGGGAGGUUUAGAAACACGAAUCUUCCCUCUGAUGCCCAGCACUCUGGAGCCUCUUUAAUGGAGGUAUUAUGAGAUCUGAAUCCAGAGUGCCAUAUAGUGACUUCAGAGACUUAAGACUCUCACAUUUGGGGAUCAAACCUUUUGGGAUCAAACCUUUCAGCUGGGAUAACCCGAAACGCUGCGCCCGCUUUUACCUUCUUUAUCUCCUUCACCUUGUGAUUGUGUUAGAAUGGUCAAACAAACGGCUAGUUGGCGUCUACGGUCUAGUACUAUCUGCUGCUCAUAUCUCCGAACCACCAGACCCCCGCUGGCUCUUCUGUGCUCUGGCCCCCCCCAGACCCCCGCUGGUCCGUCUGCGUUCUGGCCCCC
ensembl:lncRNA